rnacentral:rRNA from 1 species
UGCUAUAAUGCAGUAGAACGCUGAAGAGAGGAGCUUGCUCUUCUUGGAUGAGUUGCGAACGGGUGAGUAACGCGUAGGUAACCUGCCUUGUAGCGGGGGAUAACUAUUGGAAACGAUAGCUAAUACCGCAUAACAAUGGAUGACACAUGUCAUUUAUUUGAAAGGGGCAAUUGCUCCACUACAAGAUGGACCUGCGUUGUAUUAGCUAGUAGGUGAGGUAAUGGCUCACCUAGGCGACGAUACAUAGCCGACCUGAGAGGGUGAUCGGCCACACUGGGACUGAGACACGGCCCAGACUCCUACGGGAGGCAGCAGUAGGGAAUCUUCGGCAAUGGGGGCAACCCUGACCGAGCAACGCCGCGUGAGUGAAGAAGGUUUUCGGAUCGUAAAGCUCUGUUGUAAGUCAAGAACGGGUGUGAGAGUGGAAAGUUCACACUGUGACGGUAGCUUACCAGAAAGGGACGGCUAACUACGUGCCAGCAGCCGCGGUAAUACGUAGGUCCCGAGCGUUGUCCGGAUUUAUUGGGCGUAAAGCGAGCGCAGGCGGUUUGAUAAGUCUGAAGUUAAAGGCUGUGGCUCAACCAUAGUUCGCUUUGGAAACUGUCAAACUUGAGUGCAGAAGGGGAGAGUGGAAUUCCAUGUGUAGCGGUGAAAUGCGUAGAUAUAUGGAGGAACACCGGUGGCGAAAGCGGCUCUCUGGUCUGUAACUGACGCUGAGGCUCGAAAGCGUGGGGAGCGAACAGGAUUAGAUACCCUGGUAGUCCACGCCGUAAACGAUGAGUGCUAGGUGUUGGAUCCUUUCCGGGAUUCAGUGCCGCAGCUAACGCAUUAAGCACUCCGCCUGGGGAGUACGACCGCAAGGUUGAAACUCAAAGGAAUUGACGGGGGCCCGCACAAGCGGUGGAGCAUGUGGUUUAAUUCGAAGCAACGCGAAGAACCUUACCAGGUCUUGACAUCCCGAUGCUAUUUCUAGAGAUAGAAAGUUACUUCGGUACAUCGGUGACAGGUGGUGCAUGGUUGUCGUCAGCUCGUGUCGUGAGAUGUUGGGUUAAGUCCCGCAACGAGCGCAACCCCUAUUGUUAGUUGCCAUCAUUCAGUUGGGCACUCUAGCGAGACUGCCGGUAAUAAACCGGAGGAAGGUGGGGAUGACGUCAAAUCAUCAUGCCCCUUAUGACCUGGGCUACACACGUGCUACAAUGGUUGGUACAACGAGUUGCGAGUCGGUGACGGCGAGCUAAUCUCUUAAAGCCAAUCUCAGUUCGGAUUGUAGGCUGCAACUCGCCUACAUGAAGUCGGAAUCGCUAGUAAUCGCGGAUCAGCACGCCGCGGUGAAUACGUUCCCGGGCCUUGUACACACCGCCCGUCACACCACGAGAGUUUGUAACACCCGAAGUCGGUGAGGUAACCUUUGGAGCCAGCCGCCUAAGGUGACCCUU